rnacentral:rRNA from 1 species
AACGCGAAGAACCUUACCAGGUCUUGACAUCCUCUGACACUCCUAGAGAUAGGACGUUCCCCUUCGGGGGACAGAGUGACAGGUGGUGCAUGGUUGUCGUCAGCUCGUGUCGUGAGAUGUUGGGUUAAGUCCCGCAACGAGCGCAACCCUUGAUCUUAGUUGCCAGCAUUCAGUUGGGCACUCUAAGGUGACUGCCGGUGACAAACCGGAGGAAGGUGGGGAUGACGUCAAAUCAUCAUGCCCCUUAUGACCUGGGCUACACACGUGCUACAAUGGAUGGUACAAAGGGCUGCAAAGCCGCAAGGCCUAGCCAAUCCCAUAAAACCAUUCUCAGUUCGGAUUGUAGGCUGCAACUCGCCUACAUGAAGCCGGAAUCGCUAGUAAUCGCGGAUCAGCAUGCCGCGGUGAAUACGUUCCCGGGCCUUGUA